AUUGAACGCUGGCGGCAGGCUUAACACAUGCAAGUCGAGCGAGCGGCGGACGGGUGAGUAAUGUCUGGGAAACUGCCUGCUGGAUGGGGAUAACUACUGGAAACGGUAGCUAAUACCUCCUACCAUCAGAUGUGCCCAGAUGGGAUUAGCUAGUAGGUGGGGUAAUGGCUCACCUAGGCGACGAUCCCUAGCUGGUCUGAGAGGAUGACCAGCAACACUGGAACUGCGACACGGUCCAGACUCCUACGGGAGGCAGAAGUGGGGAAUAUUGCACAAGGGGCGCAAGCCUGAUGCAGCCAUGGCGCGGGUGUGAAGAAGGCCUUCGGGUUGUAAAGCACUUUAAGCGAGGAGGCGUUACUCGCAGAAGAAGCACCGGCUAACUCCGUGCCAGCAGCCGCGGUAAUAC
rnacentral:rRNA from 1 species